UCUGACAAGCUCUUCGCAAUCUCCGCUGCAAAGAAAUCCCUGCUUUGUUCCCCAGCGAUGCUUACAGAUGAAAUUGCUUUGGAAGCCACGUCACCGUCAUCCUUAGAUCCAAAUGCAACUUUUUGGCUGGCAGUUUCACCACUUACAGCUUCUAGCUUGCGAUCCUCAACUAGAUGUAAGAAUGGAUCUAUCUGAUCAUAAUAAAGGCAGGUUAAAAAAAUUCGGUGCAAGCAAUAAGUAAAAUGGAUAAUAUAUCUACAGUAAAUAGACCGGCAGAAAUACAACUGCAGUUUAC
rnacentral:lncRNA from 1 species